UACAGGGGGGUGCAAACGUUGCUCGGAAUCAUUGGGCGUAAAGCGCACGUAGGCGGUUCGUUAUGUCGGAUGUGAAAGCCCUUGGCUUAACCGAGGAAGUGCAUCCGAAACUGGCGAGCUAGAGUACUAAAGAGGAUCGCGGAAUUCCCGGUGUAGAGGUGAAAUUCGUAGAUAUCGGGAGAACACCGGUGGCGAAGGCGGCGAUCUGGGUAGAUCUGACGCUAGGUGCGAAAGCGUGGGGAGCAAACAGG
rnacentral:rRNA from 1 species